rnacentral:lncRNA from 1 species
AUGUUCCUGCCACUCCCCCGCCACAGACCCUUUUGGACAAAUGACAAGAGACGGAAUAGGAGGCCCCAGUCCUGGCACCCGACGUCCAGCUUCACAGCCCGCCUGGAGCUAAGCCCAGGGGCCAUCUCCGUGGGAGGGGAGGAGACCUGUGCUGCGUUCAACGCGAACGCCGCAGUCUCUAAGGAGACAGGGGAACUUUUCACUGCUUAUUGCUGCUGCCACCAUGCUGGCUUCCUGGCCCACAUGUGGACCAAGAUUCUAUUUUUGAUUCCCUGCAACACACCUGAAGGGAGAAUGGAGCACAAAGCUUUGCAAGAUAAGAAACCGCCUGAACAAACACCACCUCAAGCAAUGGAGAAGAGGGAUGGGCCUAAAUGGAGCUUGGGAAGACCCCUGGAAGCAUAUCCUGAAACUGAUUUGAGAACCUCCCUGUUGCGUUUUCUCACAGAAUUACAGGGGGAAACCCAAUCAGUAACUCAACUGCCACACCACAAGGAUAAACUUGCUUGCAUCUCUUGCAUGCUGGUCUGUGUGUUCUUUAAGGGCCAUGCAGGAGUGUAUAAUGGGCAUAGCCUUUGAGAUCAGUAGGACCUGAGUUCAAAUCUUGGGUCUGUACUUACUUGCUGUGUGAUCUUGGGCUACUUAUUCAAUCUCUCUGAAUCUCCAUAAAAUUAAGUAAGUACUACAUUGUAGACUUCUUUAUGAAGAAAUAAAAUCAGACUGUAAACACACAUACCACCUAGCAGAGAGUAGGAGUCAUCUGUGAUCAUUCCCAAAUCUCCAGGGAACUCGUCUCAUUUGUCCCUGGUCCCCAAUAUGCUCAGUGCUCAGAGAGUAUGUUUUAAAUGAAAACGAUGUUUGCCUUACCUAACCUAACAUUUGGGUUGGUCUCCUUUCAAGGAGAAUUAAAGAUGUCAGUGCUUACUUUUAUAUUGUC